GUUCUCUUGCCCAGCUGGCCCUUGUGGCCUCCUCGGCCCCAGCUGUGAGAGGCAGGAGCACAAAACAUCUCCACGGGGCUUUCUGCAUCCAGGGCUGCUGCUGGGGCUGCGGCCGGGCGGGUACCAGGCGCCGCUGCCUCGCUGAAGGAUGCUCGCAGCUCUCCAGCACCUUCCCGAUGCUUCAAAUCCAGGAUGCUUUUUUUAAACGCCAUGAGGAUUUCCUACCUGCAAUCAGGACAGGUCAGAGUUUUCCCUAGCGAGAGAAGCACGCUCUUGCACAAAGGAGCUAAUAUUUUCCGGAGUCUGGCGGCGCUGGCGGGGUUGCGAGCUGGGCUUUCCGCGCUCCGCAGCGCUUUCGCUGCCGUGCGGCUCCUCGGAGCGGCGGGCGCCGGCAGUGCCGGGCAGCCCGGCUGAGCCGCGUUUCCGAGCACCGUGCCAGAAAAGGGACAGCGCCCAUCCGUCCUGAUGGCUGGAUUCAGGAACACUACAAGCAACUACUGCCAGGACAGAACUCCUGAUUUUUAAUUCCUGCUCAGGCCUGGAUUGGGACUGCUGAACUCCAUUGUGCCUCUGGGAAAUCGACACAAUCCUUGCACCUAUCAUUGAGCAGUUGUGGUGACCAGGUACUGCCCAGGAAGUUCUCUGAGUGCAGAAGUGCUGUAUGGGAAGAAAGGAAAUGUUACACAUCUCAAAACUCUCCACUCACAGAAGAGGCUGAAUGUAUCCUCUUGAACGUGUGGGAUGCAUGUGAAAAAAGCAUCAAGAUUACUCAGCUCCUUGGAAAUUAUCACUGCAACUCUUUUCUCUGCCUCUCUUUUUCUUUACCCUGUCUACCAGAAUGUCAGCAAAUGUCUUCAAAAUGGCCAGCGUGAGGAUUCCACCAAGAUUUAUCAACAAAUGAGCCAGAAAAACCCCACGAUAUGGAAACAGAAAAAGGUAAGGAAGGAGAAGGGGAGAAUACCAUGUACUCAUUUCAGCCAGGGGUUUGUGCUGCCCUUGCCACAGACAGAUUUUAGAGCAGGCCAGGCUGGUUAAUGUGGCUUUAGAUCCUCAGCAGGCACUUACACAAUGGCACAUGGAAUUUAUUUCAUGUGAUACCAUUACAGGAAUGCUGUGAAGAGGGAGAGCAGAGAAAAAGGCUGGUGCUGGUGCCUGUGCUGUGGUUUGGAGAGAAAUACCCUAGAAAUAAGAGAGGAAGGGGACCUCCACCUUCUAUUGAAACAUCCAAAUAAGCCAGACUCCCAAUUCCUCUGGAGGGAAGGGCAGAACAAGUGGUGGGAGAAGAGGAAA
rnacentral:lncRNA from 1 species